GAUGAACGCUAGCGAUAGGCCUAACACAUGCAAGUCGAGGGGCAGCAUAGAGUAGUAAUACUUUGAUGGCGACCGGCGCACGGGUGAGUAACACGUAUGCAACCUACCUACAUCAGGGGAAUAACCCGGAGAAAUUCGGACUAAUACCGCAUAAUACAGGGAUGCCGCAUGGCAAUAUUUGUUAAAGAUUUAUCGGAUGUAGAUGGGCAUGCGUUCCAUUAGCUAGUUGGUGAGGUAACGGCUCACCAAGGCAACGAUGGAUAGGGGAACUGAGAGGUUUGUCCCCCACACUGGAACUGAGACACGGACCAGACUCCUACGGGAGGCAGCAGUGAGGAAUAUUGGUCAAUGGACGAGAGUCUGAACCAGCCAAAUCGCGUGAAGGAAGACUGCCCUACGGGUUGUAAACUUCUUUUGUACAGGAAUAAAAGACAUUACGUGUAAUGUAUUGCAUGUACUGUACGAAUAAGCAUCGGCUAACUCCGUGCCAGCAGCCGCAGUAA
rnacentral:rRNA from 1 species